rnacentral:rRNA from 1 species
CAGUCGCCACGGUAAUACAGAGGGUGCGAGCGUUAAUCGGAUUUACUGGGCGUAAAGCGUGCGUAGGCGGCUUCUUAAGUCGGAUGUGAAAUCCCUGAGCUUAACCUGGGAACUGCAUUUGAAACUGUCAGGCUGGAGUCUUGUAGAGGGGGGUGGAAUUCCAGGUGUAGCGGUGAAAUGCGUAGAGAUCUGGAGGAAUACCGGUGGCGAAGGCGGCCCCCUGGACAAAGACUGACGCUCAGGUGCGAAAGCGUGGGGAGCAAACAGGAUUAGAUACCCCGGUAGUCCCUGUCUCUUAUAC